UGUAAGGGUCUGAAGCUUAAUUUAAUUCAUUUAAUCUAGUGAAUUUUGAAAUAUGCGGGAAGCAUAAGCUUCCUGUGCAUUACUAUUUUAAUACAUUGCUAAGCAAAUUUUGUCUUUCAUAUUAUGGUAUUUGAUAAAUAGAAAGGGCGGUCACCUAGCUCUUCCUGCCUCCUACCCAGAUGGAUCAUUUGAAGACUGAACCCUUGAAAGAGAUGUCACUUCUUCUGCGGUUCUGAGUGACCCGGGUGUGGAUGCGAGGCAGCCAGGAUACAUUCCAGGAAAACUGACAAAUGAAGCUCAAUUUGACCUCUUCAUCAAAAGACGAAAGAAGGCUACCUUGAAAACUCUGUUCACGACCAGACACGGGUGUCGUGCAAUGUGGGUCCUCUGGCGGAGGGAGCUACUGACUGUUAGCGGUGCAGUGGUUUGUUUACAAACAAGAGGGCUCCACGUGAUCAAGUACUGCCGAAACCCACCGAGGUACAGUUCAACAUGCGUCUGCUAGCAGCCUUACCUUUGGUUCACAUUCAGGAACUCUACGCCUAUUCAGGCAUUUAUUUUAUGUGAAUUGAAUAAAUAUAUUUGUCUGGGAUUUCUUUUUAUAUUUUUAUAUGAAA